AUGUAUUCUCUUAACUUUGAUGAUGGCGAUGGGAGCUUGCAGUUGUCUGUUACUCAGUCACAGACUGUUGAUGGCACUGAGCCUGUUACUCAGGCUGAGGAUGUUCCUAUGUACAAAGCUGAUGGAGAUAGUGUUGCUGUGAAGAUUGGUCCAAGCACACUUGGUGGCUCUCCUGUUCGUCGGAGUCCACGAGUUUUGACAAAUAAAAAGCCUUCUUCGUCUCCUCUUCCAGAGCGCUCUUUGUUGAAGCAAAAUAAGAAGCGUAAAGUUCCUCCCGCGAAGGUGAACAAAGGUGUGAAGAAGCGUGCUCAUGUCGAAGCUGAAGAUCCUUUACCUGAAGAAGAUGAUAUUGAAGUUAAUCCUGAAGAUGAAUACACAGUGCCUGUUAGAGUUAUGGGUCCGGUCAAGCCGGUGGGAGGCAAUGCCGGAAAAGUUGCUUUGGAUGAAGAUCCUGAUACGAUGACUCUUGACAUGGGUGAGGCUAAUAAGAAGCUUCCCAUCACUAGCGAUGGUAUACAACAACUAUUUGGGUUCCCUCAUGGUGGUCGUUCUACACCAAGGCCGUCAGAGGACGGAUAUGACGACGCUCUGAUGAAGUUAAGAUCGGAGCUUGACAUUAGCAUGAACAAAGAUAUCAAGAUGAAGGAUUUGACGGAUAGGCUCAGGGUGCUUGUCAAGGAUCCUACCAAAUAUGACCUUGCUCUCAAAGUGUUCUUCAUUAUUGUGUUUAUGAAGGUUGUGUUGCCUGGUGCCACCCCGCGUGUUUCCAGAGAGGCAGCAAUGUUUGAUGAUCUCGUCAUUGAGGACAUGGCUAAUAUGGAUUAUUGCCAGCUGAUGGUUGAUGAGCUUAGAAGGGCUGUUGUCAGGUACCAAGAUGGUGUUACCAUGGGGAAGGCAAUCACAGAUUGUGCUAUAGGGCUUGUACUAAUGUACCUUGAGUGCUUUAUCCGUGGCAAGACUCCAGAACCUGACAUGCGAGUUCCCCGCAUAUGUUUCAUGGAUCCUGACAAGCUUUCCGAUCUGGCUGAUGCUGAUUUGAUAAAAAAGGCAACGCAGAUCCAAAGACUUGGGUGUUUGGGAAGCUUCCGUGGAAAACUCAUGAGGAGGUUGUUUUUUCCGAGUGUAUAA
rnacentral:rRNA from 1 species